GUUGUUUUGUGCAGCAUGUUUCUUGCUAUGUAAGAGUUGAUUUUCAUCAUUCAUGCAUGCAUUUCAAGAUAGCGCGCUACUACAGGCAACCAUUUCCAUUUUUUCUCCAAAGGUUAGAAAAAGGGUUUGAAAAAAAAUUGCUUAAUACUUUGAAGUAGCUCUUCUUUUAAAGUGAUGAUAAACAAAUGGCAGAAAUCACAUAUUGUCCACUUUCUGCUUGUUCAUCACACCGUUAUGCAACUUACAACUUAUUUAUUUAAAAAAGACUUACUCCCCAUUUACUAACUAUUUUCAGCUGAUCCCAUAAGCUACAUUUCAAAAUGUGAAUUUUUUCCUGAAUAUGUUACCGUUUUUAUAAAAUUCUAAAAAAUAUCAGAAAAAUAAAAUAUUCAAAACAUUA